rnacentral:rRNA from 1 species
UCAAGUUAUUAAGGGUGCAGGGCGGAUGCCUUGGCACUAGGAGCCGAUGAAGGACGUGAUAAGCUGCGAUAAGCUUCGGGGAGUUGCACGUAAACUUUGAUCCGAAGAUUUCCGAAUGAGGAAACUCACUUAGAGUAAUGUCUAAGUAUCAUUAAGUGAAUACAUAGCUUAAUGAGGGGAACUCAGGGAACUGAAACAUCUAAGUACCUGAAGGAAGAGAAAGAAAUUCGAUUCCGUAAGUAGCGGCGAGCGAACGCGGAUUAGCCCAAACCAAUAAAGUUUUCUUUAUUGGGGUUGCGGACAUAUCAUAACGAAGAGGUAUCGUAAUUGAAGAGGUUUGGAAAGACCCACCACAGAAGGUAAUAGUCCUGUAUGUUAAACGAGAAGACUUCAGAUAUGAUCCAGAGUACCACGGGACACGUGAAACCCUGUGGGAAGCAGGAGGGACCACCCUCCAAGGCUAAAUACUACCUAGUGACCGAUAGCGUAUAGUACCGUGAGGGAAAGGUGAAAAGAACCCCGGGAGGGGAGUGAAAUAGAACCUGAAACCCUGCACUUACAAGCUGUGGAAGCACAUUUCUUGUGUGACCGCGUACUUUUUGUAGAACGGGCCAACGAGUUACGUUAAGUAGCAAGGUUAAGCACUUAAGGUGCGGAGCCGUAGCGAAAGCGAGUUUUAACUGAGCGUUCAGUUACUUGACGUAGACCCGAAACCGGGCGACCUACCCAUGAGCAGGAUGAAGCGAAAGUAAAAUUUCGUGGAGGUCCGAACCCACGAGCGUUGAAAAGCUCGGGGAUGACUUGUGGGUAGCGGUGAAAUUCCAAUCGAGCCCGGAGAUAGCUGGUUCUCCCCGAAAUAGCUUUAGGGCUAGCCUCAAGGUGAGAGAUACGGAGGUAGAGCACUGAAUGUCCUAGGGGGUAUUGCACCUACCGAAGACUAUCAAACUCCGAAUGCCGUCAUCUUAUACUUGGGAGUCAGACUGUGGGUGAUAAGAUUCAUAGUCGAAAGGGCAACAGCCCAGAUCGUCAGCUAAGGUCCCUAAAUGUAAGUUAAGUGGUAAAGGAUGUGGGAUUGCACAGACAACCAGGAUGUUGGCUUAGAAGCAGCCACUCAUUCAAAGAGUGCGUAAUAGCUCACUGGUCGAGUGAUCCUGCGCCGAAGAUUUCCGGGGCUAAAACUUACUACCGAAGCUACGGCAUCAGUAAUGAUGGGUAGGGGAGCUUCCCAUACGGGUUGAAGCAUGACCGUAAGGACAUGUGGACAGUAUGGGAGUGAGAAUGUUGGCAUGAGUAGCGAGAUGUGGGUGAGAAUCCCACAGGCCGUAAACCCAAGGUUUCCAGGGGAAGGUUCGUCCGCCCUGGGUUAGUCGGGACCUAAGCUGAGGCCGAAAGGCGUAGGUGAUGGACAACAGGUUGAUAUUCCUGUACUACCGAUAACCGUUUGAGAGAAGGGAUGACACAGUAGGAUAAGCUAAGCACACUGUUGGUUAUGUGUGCCCAAGCAUUGAGGCAGUCAAAGUAGGCAAAUCCGCUUUGAUAAUGCUGGGAUGUGAUGGGGAGCGAAAUUUAGUAGCGAAGUAGCUGAUUUCACACUGUCAAGAAAAGUCUCUAUCGAGGUUAAAGGUACCCGUACCGCAAACCGACACAGGUGGGUGAGGAGAGUAUCCUAAGGCCAGCGAGAGAACUGUUGUUAAGGAACUCGGCAAAAUGACCCCGUAACUUAGGGAUAAGGGGUGCCACCAUCAGGUGGCCGCAGAGAAUAGGCCCAAGCGACUGUUUACCAAAAACAUAGGUUUCUGCUAAGUCGCAAGACGAUGUAUAGGAGCUGACGCCUGCCCGGUGCUGGAAGGUUAAGGGGAUCUGUUAGAGCAAUCGAAGCAGUGAACUUAAGCCCCAGUAAACGGCGGCCGUAACUAUAACGGUCCUAAGGUAGCGAAAUUCCUUGUCGGGUAAGUUCCGACCCGCACG